rnacentral:piRNA from 1 species
UCUGUACUGUCUAUUCUCACUCGGUCUAGU